rnacentral:lncRNA from 1 species
AGAACCCUCAGUCUCUGAAUGCAAAGCAGCAACUGUUGUUAAGAACUAGCCCCUGAAUUGCCUACUCCCCUCCAUCUCUUAACCAAAAAAGAAAGUUCUAAUUGGACCAGUUGGCAGAGAAGCUGUAAUGGGAGAAACAGCCACUGGCUCACAGCAUGCAAGAGAGAAGAAAUAGAUUUCAAAACACCACCAGUUCCAAGAGUUGAAAACACCACCUUUGUGGCUUCUGUGGUCAACAGUCGAUGGCAUCUGAAACACUAAUAACCUUCACUAUAACAGAAUACAGUAAGUUGUGGAACACUGCUAGCAGAAGAAAGAAGUUGAACUACUUUCCACCAAGUCAUGGAUCCUUGUCACCACUGCUUCAAAAAAAAUCCAACCG